rnacentral:rRNA from 1 species
GAUCAUGGCUCAGGAUGAACGCUAGCGACAGGCUUAACACAUGCAAGUCGAGGGGCAUCAUGAGGUAGCAAUACCUUGAUGGCGACCGGCGCACGGGUGAGUAACGCGUAUGCAACCUGCCUGAUACCGGGGUAUAGCCCAUGGAAACGUGGAUUAACACCCCAUAGUACUUUUAUCCUGCAUGGGAUGUGAGUUAAAUGUUUAAGGUAUCUGAGUGGGCAUGCGUCCUUA